UACCUUGAUAGGAUUCAGUUGUGCCCUAAC
rnacentral:piRNA from 1 species